rnacentral:ncRNA from 1 species
GCUGCUUGGGUCUGUGGUUGCAAGGCCAUGCCAGAUACGGGCAAAGGGCUCCACGUAAGCUGAUCCGCAAGGCGGCAGUGAUCAUGGCGUAUCUUAGAUGUAAGUCCUCCGGAAAAUCCGGGUAAAGGCGAGUGUGGGGGCAAAGACCAGGUCAGCCGGGCAGC